rnacentral:rRNA from 1 species
GACGAACGCUGGCGGCGUGCUUAACACAUGCAAGUCGAACGAUGAAGCCGGAGCUUGCUCUGGUGAAUUAGUGGCGAACGGGUGAGUAACACGUGUGUAACCUGCCCUUGACUCUGGGAUAACUGCGGGAAACUGUAGCUAAUACCGGAUACGACCCUCGGAGGCAUCUCCUGGGGGUGGAAAGAAUUUCGGUCAAGGAUGGACUCGCGGCCGAUCAGCUAGUUGGUGGGGUAAAGGCUCACCAAGGCGACGACGGGGAGCCGGCCUGAGAGGGUGACCGGCCACACUGGGACUGAGACACGGCCCAGACUCCUACGGGAGGCAGCAGUGGGGAAUAGUGCACAAUGGGCGCAAGCCUGAUGCAGCAACGCCGCGUGAGGGAUGACGGCCUUCGGGUUGUAAACCUCUUUUAGCAGGGAAGAAGCGAAAGUGACGGUACCUGCGGAAAAAGCACCGGCUAACUACGUGCCAGCCGCCGCCGUAA